rnacentral:piRNA from 1 species
GGAAGUUUCCACUGUCUACCCUCAAG